UCAGGGGCUGAUUUAGACCUGGGACACCAGGUGGGUGAGUCCCCUCUAAUCAGGGGCUGAUUUAGACCUGGGACACCAGGUGGGUGAGUCCCCUCUAAUCAGGGGCUGAUUUAGACCUGGGACACCAGGUGGGUGAGUCCCCUCUAAUCAGGGGCUGAUUUAGACCUGGGACACCAGGUGGGUGAGUCCCCUCUAAUCAGGGGCUGAUUUAGACCUGGGACACCAGGUGGGUGAGUCCCCUCUAAUCAGGGGCUGAUUUAGACCUGGGACACCAGGUGGGUGAGUCCCCUCUAAUCAGGGGCUGAUUUAGACCUGGGACACCAGGUGGGUGAGUCCCCUCUAAUCAGGGGCUGAUUUAGACCUGGGACACCAGGUGGGUGAGUCCCCUCUAAUCAGGGGCUGAUUUAGACCUGGGACACCAGGUGGGUGAGUCCCCUCUAAUCAGGGGCUGAUUUAGACCUGGGACACCAGGUGGGUGAGUCCCCUCUAAUCAGGGGCUGAUUUAGACCUGGGACACCAGGUGGGUGAGUCCCCUCUAAUCAGGGGCUGAUUUAGACCUGGGACACCAGGUGGGUGAGUCCCCUCUAAUCAGGGGCUGAUUUAGACCUGGGACACCAGGUGGGUGAGUCCCCUCUAAUCAGGGGCUGAUUUAGACCUGGGACACCAGGUGGGUGAGUCCCCUCUAAUCAGGGGCUGAUUUAGACCUGGGACACCAGGUGGGUGAGUCCCCUCUAAUCAGGGGCUGAUUUAGACCUGGGACACCAGGUGGGUGAGUCCCCUCUAAUCAGGGGCUGAUUUAGACCUGGGACACCAGGUGGGUGAGUCCCCUCUAAUCAGGGGCUGAUUUAGACCUGGGACACCAGGUGGGUGAGUCCCCUCUAAUCAGGGGCUGAUUUAGACCUGGGACACCAGGUGGGUGAGUCCCCUCUAAUCAGGGGCUGAUUUAGACCUGGGACACCAGGUGGGUGAGUCCCCUCUAAUCAGGGGCUGAUUUAGACCUGGGACACCAGGUGGGUGAGUCCCCUCUAAUCAGGGGCUGAUUUAGACCUGGGACACCAGGUGGGUGAGUCCCCUCUAAUCAGGGGCUGAUUUAGACCUGGGACACCAGGUGGGUGCAAUUAAUGAUCAGUAGAACAGACAACCAACAGGCUCCUGACCUCCGAGGGUAAUAGUUGAACACUGCUGCGCUAGUUGUCAGAGGGCAGGGAUCUGUCACAGCCC